GACGUAGGUGGCGAACGUUAUCCGGAAUUAUUGGGCGUAAAGGGUGCGUAGGUGGCCUGACAAGUUAUCAGUGGCAAAUCGAGGCUCAACCUCGUGGAAACUGGUAAUACUGUUCGGCUUGAGUACAGGAGAGGUUAACGGAACUCUAUGUGGAGCGGUAAAAAUGCACAGAUAUAUAAGAAGAACAUCAAUAAAAGGCGAAGGCA
rnacentral:rRNA from 1 species